rnacentral:rRNA from 1 species
UACGUAGAGGGCUAGCGUUGUCCGGAAUCAUUGGGCGUAAAGCGCGCGUAGGCGGCCUGGUAAGUCCGCUGUGAAAGUCAAAGGCUCAACCUUUGAAUGUCAGCGGAUACUGCCAGGCUAGAGUCCGGAAGAGGCGAGUGGAAUUCCUGGUGUAGCGGUGGAAUGCGCAGAUAUCAGGAGGAACACCGGUGGCGAAGGCGGGUCUCUGGGCCGAUACUGACGCUGAGGAGCGAAAGCCAGGGGAGCGAACGGG